CAGGAGGCGACCUCCGUGUUAAAGACUGCAGAGAGGGCCCGCCAGGGAGCCCAGGAGAGGCAGCGGCAGCAGGGUGUCGUCCCCUCCCUGGUGACGUUCUUCCAUUCCCUGGAGCUGCUGGACGGUACGAUGGAGGAUUAUGUGGAGGGCAAUGUGCUCAACUGUCGGAAAUGGAAUGAGCAAUUCAAACUGAUGGAGGAGAUCGAGCUGCUCCAGGAGGCUGCAAAUCUGUACACCGUGCAGCCCGACGAGAACUUCGGGGCCUGGUUCCAGGCCGUGGAGCCCCUGAGCGAGGAGGAGAGACACCAGACCCCCAACCAAGGGCCCAGUGGUGGUGGUCGAUGACCCUCCUGAGACCAGCUGAGCUACAGCGGGGACACAGCAUUGACACUCAGGGUGCACAGGGCCACCUCCCCUGAUUCUGAUGAGGAGAACUUUGUGAUCCAUUUCUUGGGGUCCCCUGUUGGCCACGAGGGAAGGCACCAACCCCUAUUCUCCCUCCCCCCUUUUCCCCAGCACCUAUUUCCCUAUUUGGCGGGGCCAUAUUUUGUUGUCAAUG